rnacentral:lncRNA from 1 species
UAGGUUGCACAAUAGAUUACUGAUAAGAUAUAUUUGAAACCUUGUUCAUAAAGUUGACAACAGACCUCAGUUCCAUGGUGAGGAAUUUGUUUUUUCUUAGGAUCUCUGAGGUAUAAAUGGUUAAGGAUUAUCUAGUGUAACCAUCCAUUUGAUAUGUGAUAGUGAUCAUACAGUUACUUUUGAAAUGUGAAGUUACUAUAUAUAUAAAUCUAUCAGUUAUUGUUGGCUCUUAUUUGGGCAGAAUUUCUGGCCUAUGGCAUUCCAUAAAUAAAAGGAGACUCUUUGUAUACUAUUACCCAUGUUAGAUCUUCAUAACAUUUACCUCCAAAGUCUAUUUUUCACAUGACUUUAUUCUAAUGAAUCUAUUUAAACUAUAUUACUCAGUUUCUAAUUAUGCCUAGUAAAUUUUGUGUGAGCUAA